AAGCUCUUUUGUCCGGAAAGAAAUCCUAUUCGCUAAUACCGAGUGGGGAUGACGGUACCGGAAGAAUAAGCACCGGCUAACUACGUGCCAGCAGCCGCGGUAAUACGUAGGGUGCGAGCGUUAAUCGGAAUUACUGGGCGUAAAGCGUGCGCAGGCGGUUGUGCAAGACAGAUGUGAAAUCCCCGGGCUUAACCUGGGAAUUGCAUUUGUGACUGCACGGCUAGAGUGUGUCAGAGGGGGGUAGAAUUCCACGUGUAGCAGUGAAAUGCGUAGAGAUGUGGAGGAAUACCGAUGGCGAAGGCAGCCCCCUGGGAUAACACUGACGCUCAUGCACGAAAGCGUGGGGAGCAAACAGGAUUAGAUACCCUGGUAGUCCACGCCCUAAACGAUGUCAACUAGUUGUCGGGUCUUAAUUGACUUGGUAACGCAGCUAACGCGUGAAGUUGACCGCCUGGGGAGUACGGUCGCAAGAUUAAAACUCAAAGGAAUUGACGGGGACCCGCACAAGCGGUGGAUGAUGUGGAUUAAUUCGAUGCAACGCGAAAAACCUUACCUACCCUUGACAUGUCAGGAACCCUGCUGAGAGGCGGGGGUGCCCGAAAGGGAGCCUGAACACAGGU
rnacentral:rRNA from 1 species